CGUGGGCUGAGCCGGGGUAGGGUUCCUUCAUCGUGCUACUGCUGGUGGUCAUCAAAGUACCAAGAACAAACAAAAUGAGAGCAAGGCGCCUGACGACGGACCUUAUGGGAGUGUGGUGUUCACUGUUCCCGAAACUCUAAUGCAACGCCAACAUCCACGCAAUGGGGAUAGUCACGAGCAGUUCUACGAAGAAGUAGCUUUGGACGGGCGCAGGCGCGAGGAGAGAGAUAUUUCGCAGCAUCUGUUAGAGGGCCCAGCCGACGAACGAUUAUAGAUUGUAGCUACAAAUGCCGUAGGCAGUGAUUUAGUGAUGUACACCUGACAGAAAUGGUGCCUCCAGUACAAAAAUUCUAGCAUAAUAAAGUAAAAAGCCGAAUCUUUGUAAUUUUCAAUUUCAGUGCCCAUUCAGAUAUAUUUACGGUUGUUGCUGUCGCCGUGGAUAGCCAGUAAUGUACAGCGUUGUCUUCUUAGACACUUAAUAAAAUACCAGACGGGUUACUGAAAAAUAUUUUUUAAAAUUAUUUAUUUAUUUAGGAUAAGACACAGACCUAUUCCGCCUGAGCAGCGAAUAAAUCUUGGUUUUGAAAUAUUGUAUGCAUUGUAAAUUAUGUCAUGUGUCAACAAAUUUAGAUAUAAAAUGUAAUUGAAUAUAAUAAAUAUACUUUUAUUUUUGAAUGCUGCAUAUUUUUACGUCUUAAAGCCGGGCCAAGGAACACCAAUGACCAUGGUUCUGGUGGAUGGUUGAGUAGCAUUCGUAGUUGUAUUGAUGAUUUAUAAACAAACUGAAAAUAUACAGCUCUUUGUUAUACAUAGUUUUUGACAUUGCGUUAUUAAAUAGAUUCAUGUACUCGCUCUGAAAAUAACACUUUAUAAUAAGUAACUUUAAUCAUAGAUGUGAAGAAAAAAGAUAAGUUUAGAACAAAAUAAAUAUCAAUAAAAAGUUA